AGGUCAAGCUGAUAAGAGCGCAAGGGGAAUGCCUUGGCAUCGAGAGCCGAAGAAGGACGUGACAAGCUGCGAUAAGUCUGGGGGAGCCGCACAUAGGCUUUGAUCCCGGAAUUUCCGAAUGGGGAAACCCGGCAGAGCAAUACUCUGUCAACGUGCGUUGAAUCAAAUAGGCGUACGUGGGGAACCGCCUGAACUGAAACAUCUAAGU
rnacentral:rRNA from 1 species